rnacentral:RNase_P_RNA from 1 species
GAAGCAGGCCAGACCGCCGCCGGUGCGAGCGGGGAAACCCGGCACGGGAGGAAGGUCCGGACUGCACAGGGUGGCGUAGCAGCUAACGGCUGUCCGGCGCGAGCCGAGGAUCAGAGCAACAGAGACGAGUCGAGGCGGGGCCGAGUCACGCUUCGGGUGAAACGGGCAAUCUCUACGCGCAGCAACACCGAAUAGGCCGGCGAUGAGGCGUCCCGCGGAGCCGGCGGGUAGGUGGCACCGAGCCGGGUGGGCGACCCCCGGCCCAGACGAAUGGCGGUCACGGCCGGCCCUGCGAGGGGCCGGCCGCACAGAAUCCGGCCUAUCGGCCUGCUUCACAC